GAUGAACGCUGGCGGCGUGCCUAACACAUGCAAGUCGAGCGAAUGGAUUAAGAGCUUGCUCUUAUGAAGUUAGCGGCGGACGGGUGAGUAACACGUGGGUAACCUGCCCAUAAGACUGGGAUAACUCCGGGAAACCGGGGCUAAUACCGGAUAACAUUUUGAACCGCAUGGUUCGAAAUUGAAAGGCGGCUUCGGCUGUCACUUAUGGAUGGACCCGCGUCGCAUUAGCUAGUUGGUGAGGUAACGGCUCACCAAGGCAACGAUGCGUAGCCGACCUGGGAGGGUGAUCGGCAACACUGGAACUGAGAAACGGCCCAGACUCCUACGGGAGGCAGCAGUAGGGAAUCGUCCGCAAUGGACGAAAGUCUGACGGAGCAACGCCGCGUGAGUGAUGAAGGCUUUCGGGUCGUAAAACUCUGUUGUUAGGGAAGAACAAGUGCUAGUUGAAUAAGCUGGCACCUUGACGGUGCCUAACCAGAAAGCCACGGCUAACUACGUGCCAGCCGCCGCCGUAA
rnacentral:rRNA from 1 species